UAAGAUCUUAUAGGGUGAUGUACUCUUAGCAGAAUGAACUUUUCUAAUGAUUUCCAGAAGGCUGAGUUUCCUCACCACUCCUGGAUCUUGCCUCUGUUCUGUUCUGUGAUUUGCAUUAAGAAAAAAAAAAAGAUACAGCUUCUCCACUGUGCUGUGGACUCUUUGAGAUAAGGAACUGUGUUUUUGCAAAUUUCCCUCCUAGGACCUAGCAUGGGGUAGGUGUUCAACAAAUAUUUGAUGAGUUAAUGAAUGAAAUCCAAAUACUCUCAUUAUGCUUUUCUGGCUGGGUAGAGAAGAGUCCCAGAACAACAUCAUUUAUAUUUUUUUCUCCUUCAACAGACCCUAGAAAUUCUCCACAAUGCAUCCAUUCUCAGAUGUGUGGAUUUCCAGGUGGGCUCCCUCACGGGGCUGGUGGUCGGCUGGCUGUCAGCUGAGAGUGAUUAAGAACUGCCUUUCAGAAAAUCUGCAAAAUCACACAGCCAGGGCACGUGCAAAAGAAGAUAUUGUACCUGAAACGACCUUGGAACUAAAGAUCCUCCUCCCCACGGAACCCAAGGACGGAGACGUGACCGGAACCUGAAGGUCGGACUCAGCAGAAGCAAGGGGUUCCUCAUUCUGAAGAUCCUUCCCCACCCUGUCAUAAAUGUUGAAAACUUCGCCAUAAAUGCUUGAAGCCCACCACCCAAAACCCGUUCCAUCUGCGUUUCCAUGUGCCAGCCCUAAGCUCUUAAAUUUUGCCCCAAAUCCUGAAUGGAGAAGACAGAUCUCAGGGCACACACCCCCUUUCUCCUUGCAGAUGGAUCUUGCAGAAUAAAAGCCGAUUUCUCCUGCAAAGGCUGAUGCCUUAUUUAUUGGCUUAUUUAUGCACAACGGGCAGAGAACCCCAAUUUUGUGCAGUAACAGGGUUGGGGAGUUUGAGGGGUUGACAGCUAAUUAGAACAUAAUUCUAAUGUUCUAGAAUUGAUUGUGGCGAUGGGUACACAACUUUGUAAAUAUACUGAAAGCCAUUGACAUAUGCAGCUUAAAUGGGUGAAUUGUAUGGUAUGUAAACUCUAUCUCAACAGAACUGUUAAAAAGGAAAAAGAAAAAAAGGCAGGAUGAUCCUGGAUCAAGGAGAGGAGAGGUGAAGCACUGGGUGGUGGUGACAUCCCCCAUUUCCCACAAAGCCGCCAGGACACCACCAGGCAAGGCCAUUAAAAAACCAACGUGUUGAAGAUUUUCUCUGCUGUCCUUGGAAAUAAUCUCUGAUUUAUAAUGAUUCUGUGGGGAAAACAAGAUUCUGUUUAUAGCAAUUCGCCAGGUGGAGAGCAGGCCCCCGCGUCCUGGAGAGGCGCCGGGAGCUCAGCCCUGCGGGGAGGUGCGGGCUUCUGACAGGCACCGUGGGGACCCCGCCCCAGCCCGCGGAGGGGAGGAACAAGGCUUCCUCCGCCCUCUUGGGAACCCUGGCUGGAUCUGAAAAUUAAACUGACAAAGACAGAUUAAUAGGAGAAAAGCCCAUAAAUGUAGUUGACAUAAUUUUUAUCUGAC
rnacentral:lncRNA from 1 species